rnacentral:rRNA from 1 species
UACAGAGGGGCAAGCGUUGUUCGGAAUUACUGGGCGUAAAGGGCGCGUAGGCGGCCUCUUAAGUCGAACGUGAAAUCCCCCGGGCUCAACCCGGGAACUGCGUCCGAUACUGGGAGGCUUGAAUCCGGGAGAGGGAGUGUGGAAUUCCAGGUGAGCGGUGAAAUGCGUAGAUAUCUGGAGGAACACCGGGUGGCGAAGGCGGCAUCCUGGACCGGUAUUGACGCGUGAGGCGCGAAAGCUAGGGGA